ACGAACGCUGGCGGCGUGCUUAACCCAUGCAAGUCGAACGGGCCCGCUCUCUUUUUUGGGGGUGGGUUGAGUGGCGAACGGGUGAGUAUCACGUGAGUAACCUGCCCCCUGCUCCUGGAUAACUGCUUGAAAGGGCGGCUAAUACGGGGUGUGCCGGCUGGUCCGCAUGGGCCUGGUCGGGAUAGUUUCAUCUUCGGGUGUUUCGGUGGGGGAUGGGCUCGCGGCCUAUCAGCUUGUUGGUGGGGUGAUGGCCCACCAAGGCGGUGACGGGUAGCCGGCCUGAGAGGGUGGGCGGCCACACUGGGACUGAGACACGGCCCAGACUCCUGCGGGAGGCAGCAGUGGGGGGUAUUGCACAAUGGGCGGAAGCCUGAUGCAGCGACGUCGCGUGAGGGAUGGAGGCCUUCGGGUUGUGAACCUCUUUCUCCGGUGGUGAAGGCCCUGUCCGUUGCGGCGGGGUUGACGGUAGCCGGGUAUGAAGCGCCGGCUAACUACGUG
rnacentral:rRNA from 1 species